AAUCCUAAACUCUUGGUAGCCCAAGCCCAAGCCAAGGCAAACCCAAUCUCAAUGGCUCACCAAUUUCUCAAUCUAACCCCAAAAAAGCCCUAGCCCCAGCAAUAAGCAUCUCCUUCGUCUCCUUCGUCUCAUCUCUCUGCUCACUAUCGCGAUCUCAAGCUUUCUCCCUCUCUCGUCUCGGGUCUCGCUCUCAACGUUUUCGUCGCUCUCCGUGUCGUCAGUCGUCACCAUCUCGCACUCAGUCGCACUCGCACGCCUUCCCUGAGCUCGUUGUCGCCGGCGGCAGAAGCACCCAGACCCGGACUGGUCGUUGUCGUCGUCGCUCCAUGGCUCCUCACCGUCUCGCACUUAGUCGUGCGCCUUCUCGCGCUUGUCGUUUCCGGCGGCAAAAGUAGCCGGUCCCGAGAUUGAUCAUCGUUGUCGUCUUCAUACUUUGAAUCUCGCCGUCAGCUUCUUCCCUGCCCUCAGAUUCCUUUGCCCAACCAGAAACUGGUCCCCGAUUUGGGCCAUUAUGUCUAUAAUAACUUACAACGGCCAGUUCAAAGAAUACAACUUAAGCCUUGAUGCCCACAAUGAUCUAACUUGGUCUCUAGGACGUGAAUUCAAUCUUUUGACAGUGACUCUGGACAAGGCUGUCAUUUCAUGAGUGGCAAAUAGUGGAUGCAUGUUAGCAUGAUAUAGUUAGAAAAACUUGAACUACCCUUGCCGCUCUUUUUCUAUCCAAGGAAACAAUCUACAUUUGCUGACAUGACUGUCAUAACAUAUAUGGAGGAAUUAUCGUUGUAAAUUUGUUCUAUUUUUCCUCCCCAAAAAUGUAUAUUCUCAUUUUUCUGAGAUACAACUCGGUCGCAGCUGAUGAUAUGUUGUAUUUACGGAGUAUAAAAUUAUAUAUAAUAAAGAAUUUUACUGGCCUCAAUUAACGAAAUAUGGCGAAAGUGCCUCCAUUCAAUAUGAGUAUAGUUAUUUGGUUACA